rnacentral:rRNA from 1 species
AUUGAACGCUGGCGGCAUGCUUUACACAUGCAAGUCGAACGGCAGCGCGGGCUUCGGCCUGGCGGCGAGUGGCGAAUGGGUGAGUAAUACAUCGGAACGUGCCCAGUAGUGGGGGAUAGCUCGGCGAAAGCCGGAUUAAUACCGCAUACGACCUGAGGGUGAAAGCGGGGGAUCUUCGGACCUCGCGCUAUUGGAGCGGCCGACGGCAGAUUAGCUAGUUGGUGGGGUAAAGGCCUACCAAGGCGACGAUCUGUAGCUGGUCUGAGAGGACGACCAGCCACACUGGGACUGAGACACGGCCCAGACUCCUACGGGAGGCAGCAGUGGGGAAUUUUGGACAAUGGGCGAAAGCCUGAUCCAGCAAUGCCGCGUGUGUGAUGAAGGCCUUCGGGUUGUAAAGCACUUUUGGCGGGAACGAAAAGGACUGUGCCAAUACCACGGUUCGAUGACGGUACCCGCAGAAUAAGCACCGGCUAACUACGUG